UACGGGGGGAGCAAGCGUUGUUCGGAUUUACUGGGCGUAAAGGGCGCGUAGGCGGUCGUGACAAGUCACUUGUGAAAUCUCCGGGCUUAACUCGGAAAGGUCAACUGAUACUGUGCGGCUAGAGUGCGGAAGGGGCAACUGGAAUUCUUGGUGUAGCGGUGAAAUGCGUAGAUAUCAAGAGGAACACCUGCGGCGAAGGCGGGUUGCUGGGCCGACACUGACGCUGAUGCGCGAAAGCCAGGGGAGCGAACGGG
rnacentral:rRNA from 1 species